rnacentral:rRNA from 1 species
UACGGAGGAUGCAAGCGUUAUCCGGAUUUAUUGGGUUUAAAGGGUGCGCAGGUUGUUUGAUAAGUCAGUGGUGAAAGUCUGUCGCUUAACGGUAGGAUUGCCAUUGAUACUGUUGGACUUGAAUAUGGAUGAGGUGGGCGGAAUGUGUAGUGUAGCGGUGAAAUGCUUAGAUAUUACACAGAACACCGAUUGCGAAGGCAGCUUUCUGGGCCGUUACUGACGCUGAUGCACGAAAGCGUGGGGAUCGAACAGGAUUAGA